UACGGAGGGUGCAAGCGUUAUCCGGAUUUACUGGGUUUAAAGGGUGCGUAGGUGGGUAGGAAAGUCAGUGGUGAAAUCUCCGGGCUUAACCCGGAAACUGCCGUUGAUACUAUCUGUCUUGAAUAUCGUGGAGGUAAGCGGAAUAUGUCAUGUAGCGGUGAAAUGCUUAGAUAUGACAUAGAACACCCAUUGCGAAGGCAGCUUACUACACGAUCAUUGACGCUGAGGCACGAAAGCGUGGGGAGCAAACAGG
rnacentral:rRNA from 1 species